rnacentral:rRNA from 1 species
AUUGAACGCUGGCGGCAGGCCUAACACAUGCAAGUCGAGCGGAUGAAGGGAGCUUGCUCCCGGAUUCAGCGGCGGACGGGUGAGUAAUGACUAGGAAUCUGCCUGGUCGUGGGGGACAACGUUUAGAAAGGAACGAUAAUGCCACAGACGAUCGACGGGAGAAAGCAGGGGACCUUCUGGUCUUGCGGUAUCGGAGGAGCCUAGGUCGGAUUAGGUAGUUGAUGGGGUAAUGGCUCACCAAGGCGACGAUCCGUAACUGGUGUGAGAGGAUGAUCAGUCACACUGGAACUGAGACACGGUCCAGACUCCUACGGGAGGCAGCAGUGGGGAAUUUUGGACAACGGGCGAAAGCCUGAUCCAGCCAUGCCGCGUGUGUGAAGAAGGUCUUCGGAUUGUAAAGCACUUUAAGUUGGGAGGAAGGGUUGUAGAUUAAUACUCUGCAAUUUUGACGUUACCGACAGAAUAAGCACCGGCUAACUCUGUGCCAGCCGCCGCAGUAACAC